GUGCUCGCUUCGGCAGCACAUAUACUAAAAUUGGAACGAUACAGAAAAUUAUAUUAAAAAUAAUUCUUUAGAAGAUUAGCAUGGCCCCUGCAUAAGGAUGACAUGCAAAUUCAUGAAGCGUUCCAUAUUUUU
rnacentral:snRNA from 1 species